GCGAAGGGGUAGAUGUAACGGACAUUUCGAAGCUCAAGCUCGAAGCUCUUCCAAGUUCCAACUGCACUAAAUCAGCCAAUGCUCCUUUCUCAAUAAAAGCCAUUUCUCUUCUUCUCGAUCUCCCCACUCCCCGCCGGACUUCGCUAUAUAUUUUCCCUCUUCUUCCAACUCAUCUAUUUCGGUUUGUCUUCCAUGGAGUCCUCCGCUGUUCUCCGAUCUUUUCACUGUUCCGUAGGGACUACUUCACAGGUGCGCUCCUUACUUGAGAGGCCUAGUCCGGUACCUAUAUAUAAUGCCAGCUGGCCUAUUCCAAGUAAAUCGUGCAGCCAAGGCUUGACAGUUAGUGGGAAGCUUGUUUUUUCAUCUACAAAGCAGAAGGGAAUGGUAGUACUAUCUGCGAAGACGUCUGAAGCUAUGGAAACAUCUAAGUUCGAUGAUAGUGUUGUCAAAGGCUCAUUGGAGGAGAAAGCUCCAUUCAGUGCUACUUUUCCUAAUGAAUUAGAGGCACUGGUACUAGAGGUCUGUGACGAGACAGAAGUUGCUGAGCUGAAACUAAAGGUUGGAGAUUUUGAAAUGCAUCUGAAGCGGAACAUUGGAGCCACAAAAGCUCCCAUGUCUGGAAUUUCACCGGUUAUACCACCACCUAUUCCAACUAAACCCAUGGUUGAAUCAGCACCAGUUGUCCCAUCACCAUCACAAUCACCACCAAAAGCUUCCAGUCCAUUUACAAAUGUUCGCGAAGAGAAGUCUUCAAAGUUAGCAGCCCUAGAGGCUUCUGGAAGUGGAUAUGUCUUAGUAUCAUCCCCAACGGUUGGGUCAUUUAGAAGGGGCAGAACUGUGAAAGGGAAGAAGCAACCUCCUAUCUGUAAAGAGGGUGAUCUAAUAAAGGAAGGACAAGUAAUUGGAUAUUUGGAUCAGUUUGGCACUGAACUUCCCGUGAAGUCAGAUAAGGCUGGAGAAGUAUUAAAGCUCCUUUUUGAUGAUGGAGAAGCUGUUGGUUACGGAGACCCUCUUAUUGCUCUCUUGCCAUCAUUUCAUGGCAUCGAGUGAGCUCUUCCGGAUUAAUGGUGAUUCCCCAACGGAAAUUAUUAGUUGGAGAGCUGAGAAUCUGCAAUUACAACAGCACCAAAGCAUCCCCUCGAACAAGUCAAGGAUUCAACCGUCAUCCAUGAACCAGCACGAGGGUCAAAAACCUCAACAGAUGAGACCAUCCUAUUUCCAUCAUGGCCGCCUACAGCAUAUCUGCAAACAUAAAUUUUCAGAGUAUAAAGAACUCUUCAGAUGCUAAAAGAAAAGCAUAUAACUCUGUUUUUAUGAAGCAGUCUCUCUUAAAUCUCUUCAUUUUUAAAACAAAAAAAAAAAAACCCUUGUUAAGUUGCAUAUUUACAUAGUCAAUUCCGAAAAAAGAAAUCAUGAAUUAAGAUUGUCCGUUAGUCAUAUAAAA